GGGGGCGAUCGGUAUCGACGGGGCAAGAGACAUGUCGGACCGCACGCGGAGGAUGAUAGUUACCUCCUUAAUCACCUGUCGCAUCUUUAGUUGCCGAUUACGGCUACAUGGCCGCUGCUUAAAUAGUGGCCCGUUCCAGAUCUGAUGAGUCUAUGGUCUGAUCCAGGAGCGUCAUUUACAUAGGCUGGCUCCGAAUGUGCCUGCAAAUUCGGAGUAAGAUCAUAGCAGGCUGGUCCUUCCUGAUUUUUGUCGCUGAUAAAGGGUAGGA
rnacentral:tmRNA from 1 species